rnacentral:rRNA from 1 species
GACGAACGCUGGCGGCGUGCCUAAUACAUGCAAGUCGAGCGGGAUUCUUCGGAAUCUAGCGGCGGACGGGUGAGUAACACGUGGGCAACCUGCCUGUAAGACUGGGAUAACACCGGGAAACCGGUGCUAAUACCGGAUAAUCCUUUUCCUCUCAUGAAGAAAAGCUGAAAGUCGGUUUCGGCUGACACUUACAGAUGGGCCCGCGGCGCAUUAGCUAGUUGGUGAGGUAACGGCUCACCAAGGCGACGAUGCGUAGCCGACCUGAGAGGGUGAUCGGCCACACUGGGACUGAGACACAGCCCAGACUCCUACGGGAGGCAGCAGUAGGGAAUCUUCCACAAUGGACGAAAGUCUGAUGGAGCAACGCCGCGUGAGCGAUGAAGGCCUUCGGGUCGUAAAGCUCUGUUGUUAGGGAAGAACAAGUACCGGAGUAACUGCCGGUACCUUGACGGUACCUAACCAGAAAGCCACGGCUAACUACGUGCCAGCCGCCGCAGUAAUAC